rnacentral:lncRNA from 1 species
GCCAGCCGGAAGACACCUACCCUGGCCGGAAGACACGUACCCCCGAAGAUCGAGAAAGAGGCUGUCCGGGUAGUAUGUAGCAGUCACGUCAGACUGAGACACUUCUUGUUUACAGGAGACCAUAAAACCCCUGCCCCAUCCUCAUUUGGUGCUGAGGCCGUUUUAGGCCUCAGCCCGCCUGUACCCAGGCACUCAUUAAAACAGCGUGUUGCUCCACAGGGCCUCGUGUUGUCUGUUGGCACGCUCUUGGGCUUGGAACCGAUACAAGAACCUUACAAUGAGGUGGAAGAGAGAAGCACGGCAGGAUUGUGCACAAAGUCUUGUCUGUUGUGGAAUGGAGUUUGGACCUUUCCCACCACUUUCAAGGAAGGGAAUGAAUUGACCUGGUUCACUUCCUAAGAAGGCUACUGUCUGUGUGGUGCUCCUAGAGGCAUGGGAGAGGAGUGAAGACAGAGAUGACCAAAGAAACACUUGGGGAAAGAAUGGAAGCGGCAUGUGUUAGCUUGGGAAAGGGAAACAUACCAGCAUCCGAGAUCUGGCCAUCAGGGAGAAUAACAAACACUGACGGUGGCAAGAUAAAGAGAAGAUUCGAAGAUGGCUCCAGGUCUCCAGCCAGGAAGAUGCUGAUGACAGCAGUGCCAGGAGUUGGAACAGGAAAUGGAAGCCUGAGCUUCUGUUGAUGUCAUCCCUGUCGGACCCUGGAUGAGAAAGAAAACGGGAACAACACGAGGAAGACGAGACAUCUUCCCCAGUGAGAAAUCUGCAAGUGUGCCAUUUUAGAAUGUUGGGUGUAAUGCCAGCCAUUGUUACAAUAGGACAUUGCAUUUUAUACCUGAGAUCACUGACUGGUUGUCAUCAGAUAGAAUCAUGUAGUCCCCUGUUGUACAAACAGAACAUUCUGAUGACUAUUCAUUAAGUGAAAUAUAAUGGAACACUUAAAGUGACCCCAAGAUUAAACCCUUAUUUGGGGUUUGUCUAAUGACUAAUGGUCACUACCACCAGUUUGGAGACAUUACAACAAAACUCUGCUGCUGACAAAAAUAUUAACCAUAAAUGAUGAGAAAUUUUCAGUUGGGACCAAAAGAACAUCUGGAGGCCAUUAAAGCAGGAGAAUUUUCCCUCUAUGUCCUGAUUGCCAAACUUAGAACCAACCACCCAGAAACUGUGGCCCUCAUGCUAACUCAAUGUUUAUAUUUCAUUAAAAACGAUUUCAAGGGUUUGCGUCUUGCACUUCAUGGCCCAACUCCCAUGCAUACAGCUUUUCAUCUCACUGAGCAUGUCCUGGAGCAGACGAGCAUUCCUCACCUCUUGGUUUCAGAAGAAGGAGCUUCUUGGGGAAUAAUUCCAGGUUCUUUUUUUGCAUCUAUAAUCUAAUCAAGAAUCUGUAGGUCCUACCAUCCUAGGAUAAAUGAGGAGAAGAAAACAAGGAUGCAAGACCCAACAAUAAAAAUAUUAGAAUUUUAAAAAUACUAUACUAGAGUUUGCUUUUAAAUACCUAGUAAAGCUACAAUAAGUCAUGAAAUUGAUGAAUGGAAAGUUAUAUAAUUUCAGCUGUAUAUUAGUUGCUUUUUGCUGCUAUAACAAAUCACCACAAACUUUGUGACUUAAGACAGAUGUAGCCAGGCACGGUGGCUCAUGCCUGUAAUCCCAGCACUUUAGAAGGCUGAGGCAGGCGGAUCACCUGAGGUCAGGCAUUCAAGACCAGCCUGGCCAAGAUGAUGAAACCUCAUCUCUACUAUAAAUACAAAAAUUAGCUGGGCAUGGUGGCACCUAUAAUUCCAGCUACUCGGGCGGCUAAGGCAGGAGAAUCAGUGAGUCGAGAUCACACCACUGCACUCCAGCCUGGGCAACAGAGCAAGACUCCAUCUCAAAAAAGGAAAAAACAAAACAAGACGGAUAUAUUACCUUACAGUUCUUGAAGUUAGAAGUCCAACACAGGUUGCACUGGACUAAAAUCAGGGCAUCAGCUGGGCUGCAUUCCUUUCUGGAGGUUCUAGGGGGAAAUCUAUUUCUUUGUCUUUUAGCUCCUUGCAGCUGCUCCAUUCCUUUGUUUAUGGCCUAUUCUCCAUUUUCAAAGCCAGCAAAGUUGCAUCUUUUUAACUUUUCUUCUGCAGGAAUAUCGCCUUCCAACUAUGGCAAGAAAAGGUUGUCUGAUUUUGAAGAUUUGUGUGAUUCAUUUAGGCCCACUAAAAUAAUCCAAGAUAAUCUUCCCAUCUCAAGAUUCUUAAUUUAAUCACAUCUGCAAAGUUCCUUACAAAAGCAACAUAUUCACAAAUUGCAGGGAUUAGGACGUGGACAUCUUUGGGGGAUCCAUAUUCUGCCUAUCACAAGCUAUUUCCAGACUCCAAGUAGUAAAGAGAGUUGAAAUUCAAAAGCUCAUCAGUCACCUUUUUUCACUGUCAUUCCUUUUAGCAUUGAGUUUUACCUUAGGAAAUAGGACAGAUGUUUUCAAUACCUAAAACCUUAAACAUAGAACAAUUUUACAAAUGUCAUGAAACCAGAAUGAAUCUCUUGGCUGAAAGUUUUUCAAUUUUCAAAGAACUAAUUUUAAUUUUACUAGUAAAUUUGAAAUGGAUCCAGCUUGCCUGCUGUACUUUUAUAUGAGACACUAAAUCACGGUUCUUUGGAAACGGCAACAUUGAAAGCAUAAACUGUCAUUUUCCCAGAAUGUGUGGAAGGGCGGAUGUGGUUGAUAUAAUGUGUUUCUUAACACAUCUUUUCACCCUGAGCUCACUCCCACCAUGUGUUUAUAUGCACUGCAGGGCAUACAGCAGCCUUGGUCGGUGCACGUGUUCGCAAGUAGUUUCGCCUAUUUCUCAAGCAUAUAUUCCUACGGGUGCCUAGCAAAUGCCUUAGCUGAGGACAAGGUGUCCAAGGAAUAAGUACUUGCUGCUGUUUUCCAACACACACCACAAUUUCGGCUGAUUCUCAGCAAAGGGCAUUUCUUCUACUCUGGGAUCUGUGAAUUUGCUCAUGGUUUUUAACAACCUGCAGCCCGGCUCAAGUCAUAGUCUGGAUCCCAAUUUGAAAUUAGCUACAUUUUAUUAGUAAGUGUCCAGAAAUGGCUUGGCGGGUCAUUUUCUGUCUUGUAAAAUGUGGUUCUUAUUGGCAGUAACAUGCUUUUUGGGCACUGACUCAUGUUCUCUCUUCAAGCAAAUGAUUCCUUCAGGAGGCACACGCUAUAUCUAGGUUUGCUGUGUGCAACACAUCAGAUCCUGGCCAUAGGGUGACUUAGCAAAGGUACAGGCAGUUUAUUGCACACCUAUGUACACUUCAGGUCCCGUGCUAAGAGUUUUAAGGGCAUUAUCUCAUUUAACUUUACAAAACCCUGUAAGAUAGAAUCUGUUAAUCAUCCCAUUUUCAGACGAUGAAAGCAAGAUUUAAAAUGACUUGCACAACCUCAUGAAACCGACAUGCUUGGGCUGGACUAUAUUGAGACUAGGUGAGGUGAGUGAGCACUCAGUUUGGUGCAAAAUGUAAAGGAAAGCCAAAAGGCUCAGUAAGCAAGGUAAAGGAUAUUUCAGUGCAAUUUUUUAAAAAUGCAAAAUUAGUGAAAACAUUCCAUAGUAAAAUAUUAAAAUGUGAAAAAAAGACAGACUCUGACCUUAUACUGGGACUCAGCCUUAAUCACCUGACUCUAAUCCUGGCCCUGCUGAAUCCUGUCCCUUCCCUGGCUGGAAUUUGAACCCAAGGCUGGCUGAGGCUGAAGCCCAUGUUUGUACCCACUACUCUAUAGGAUGCAUCUGCCUCCUCUGCCAGCAGGGCAGCUGGGAGGUACUUAAAAUGCUUUUCAACAAUGAUGACAG